CCCCUCUUCAGAGAGCCAAGCAGCAUUGAGAAAAUCUUCGGGGACUUCGAAAGGGAGCAACAAUUACUGGGGUUAAGGCCUGCCACUCCUCCGGAGAGACCUAAAACACCACCUUAUGUCCCUCCAAGAGCUCCUUCUCCUAGACCUCCCUCUCCGAGGGCUCCUUCUCCAAGGCCUCCGUCUCCAAGGGCUGCUUCUCCGAGGGUGGCUUCUCCACGAGUUACCUCUCCCAAAGCCGCGUCUUCCCGGAUUGCUCAUCACCACAAGGAGGUUGGCUACAGACCAGAGCCAACUUUGAGGCAAC
rnacentral:lncRNA from 1 species